rnacentral:rRNA from 1 species
UGGGGAAUAUUGCACAAUGGGGGAAACCCUGAUGCAGCAACGCCGCGUGAAGGAAGACGGUUUUCGGAUUGUAAACUUCUAUCGACAGGGAAGAAGAAAGUGACAGUACCUGAAUAAGAAGCCCCGGCUAACUACGUGCCAGCAGCCGCGGUAAUACGUAGGGGGCAAGCGUUAUCCGGAAUUACUGGGUGUAAAGGGUGAGUAGGCGGCAUGGUAAGCCAGAUGUGAAAGCCCGCAGCUUAACUGCGGGAUUGCAUUUGGAACUACUAAGCUAGAGUACAGGAGAGGAAAGCGGAAUUCCUAGUGUAGCGGUGAAAUGCGUAGAUAUUAGGAAGAACACCGGUGGCGAAGGCGGCUUUCUGGACUGAAACUGACGCUGAGGCACGAAAGCGUGGGGAGCGAACA